UAGAAAUGACAUUUAAUGUUAAUUUUUUUUUUAAAGUUAAUAGUUUGAUGGUUCAAGCUCAGGAUACUGGGGUAAAUGGAUCAGCAUUAUGUGACUUGUAUCGAUCAAAAGGAGCUUAUGAGACUUUAUAUGGAUCAUAUUUUGCCUCAUGGUUAUUUUCAAUAUCUAAAUGUCAUGUUAUCUGAAUUGAGUCUCAUCUUGGUGAUACAAGCAUACAGCCAUGAAACCAUCCCAAUCUAGUAAGAAGAAGCAUAGUGCUGAACAUCAGCCAGCUACUGAGGACAAUUCAUGCCUAAACUGGCUUGUUAAAGGGAGCUGCAAACACAUGGAACUUUUCAGGACACGCCUAACCAAUAUUUACUCAUUGUUCCAGUCCAUUAAUUUGGCAAUCCUACAGCAACAUAUUUUAAAGUAGUACAAAGUGUUGCAAAUGUUUAUGAAUCUAUCCUAAGUGUCAUGAUAUCUGGUGUUUUUCUUAAAGG